CAAACCUAGCUUGCAGAGACGUCCGGCAAACAAGAUCCUUGACUGAAGUUUUGAAUCUAUCGGACGCAUUUCACCCUGCCGCGGUCGACGCUUCCAACACCCAAACGGAAUUUCUUGCUCCGAGCCCAUUCCACUUUCUCCCUAUCUACAGCGGCAGCUGCUGCCAUUUCGGUUGUUCUGAGGCAGUUCUCUCUUCGGUUAUGACCGCUGAGAAGAGGAAGAAGCCUUCUUGCGAUUCCUCACCUGUUAGCUGUACGUCCGAUUGCUCUACCCGUUCGUCAACUGCAUCCAACAACUACAUCAAGUGCCUUGAGGUCUAUUUUGAGGCAAGUGCCUUCGUUGAGUUCCUUCUGCACCUGUUUUUGCUUUCACUAUUGAUUGUCCAGAUCUGUUUCCAAACCACUUUAAU